UUUUAUUGAGCCUAAAGCGUUUGUAGCCGGAUCCGUAAAUCUCCAGGCAAAUUCCUUCGCUUAACGAAGGAUCUUCUGGAGAGACUGCGGAUCUAGGGACCGGGUGAGGUUGAAUGUACUUCUGGGGUAGGGGUAAAAUCCUGUAAUCCUGGAAGGACGACCGGUGGCGAAGGCGUUCAACUAGAACGGAUCCGACGGUGAGGAACGAGGGCUAGGGGAGCAAACCGGAUUAGAUACCCGGGUAGUCCUAGCUGUAAACACUGCCCACUUGAUGUUGCAUCUCCGUGUAGGGGGUGCAGUGUCGUAGCGAAGGUGUUAAGUGGGCCGCUUGGGGAGUAUGGUCGCAAGGCUGAAACUUAAAGGAAUUGGCGGGGGAGCACCACAACGGGAGGAGCGUGCGGUUUAAUUGGAUUCAACGCCGGAAAGCUCACCAGGAGCGACCUUUGAAUGAGAGUCAACUUGACGAGCUUACUCGAUAGAAGGAGAGGUGGUGCAUGGCCGUCGUCAGCUCGUACCGUAGGGCGUUCACUUAAGUGUGAUAACGAGCGAGACCCCCAUCUUUAAUUGCCAUCAUGUUCGAGAGGACGUGGGCACUUUAAAGGGACCGCCAGCGCAGAAGCUGGAGGAAGGAGGGGUCGACGGCAGGUCAGUACGCCCCGAAUCUCCUGGGCAACACGCGCGCUACAAAGGACAGGACAAUGGGCUGCGACCUCGAAAGGGGAAGCCAAUCUCGAAACCUGUUCGUAGUUAGGAUUGAGGGCUGUAACUCGCCCUCAUGAAUCUGGAUUCCGUAGUAAUCGCGGGUCAACAUCCCGCGGUGAAUAUGUCCCUGCUCCUUGCACACACCGCCCGUCAAACCAUCCGAGCUGGUGUUGGAUGAGGCUUUGCUCAUAGGGCAGAUUCG
rnacentral:rRNA from 1 species